GCCGGCAUAGCUCAGUUGGUAGAGCGCCGCUUUUGUAAAGCGGAUGUCCGGGGUUCAAAUCCUCGUGCCGGCU
rnacentral:tRNA from 2 species